rnacentral:ncRNA from 1 species
GGACCAAGGAGUGUAGGAGCAUAGUCCCGUCCGGAUUGCUUGCAAUACGGCGGAGACAGAGCGUAUACGGUGCGACCCGAAAGAUGAUGAACUAUGCCUGAACAGGAUGAAGCCAGGGGAAACUCUGGUGGAAGUCUGAAGCGAUUCUGACGUGCAAAUCGAUCGUCUGAUUUGGGUAUAGGGGCGAAAGACGACUAAUCGAACUGUCUAGUAGCUGGUUCCCUCUGAAGUUUCCCCCUAGGAUAGCUGGUGCACGGGGAAACAAUUAGAGGAGUUGGGAACGAAAUGAUCUUAAACUAUUCUCAAACUUUUAAUGAGUACGAUGCAUCAUUGGAAAGCGAUAACAUAGAAUGCGUGUACCAAGUGGGCCGCUUUUCGUAAGCAGAACCGGCGCUGUCGGAUGAACCAAAUGUUAGGUUAAGGUACCUAACGUGCCGCUCAUGAGACCCUAUGAAAGGUGUUGCUUGAUAUAGACAGCAGGACGGUGGCCAUGGAAGUUGGUACCCGUUAAGGAGUGUGUAACAACUCACCUGCCGAAUCAACUAGACCUGAAAAUGAAUGGAGCUUGAGCGGGAGACCUAUACCUAACCGUUGCAUGAAAGCCCCAACGUUUGCGCAUGCUGGCAACAUGCAAAAACGUCUGGCUGCA